UACAGAGGGGGCAAGCGUUGUUCGGAAUUACUGGGCGUAAAGGGCGCGUAGGCGGCCUGUUAAGUCGAACGUGAAAUCCCCGGGCUCAACCCGGGAACUGCGUCCGAUACUGGCAGGCUUGAAUCCGGGAGAGGGAUGCGGAAUUCCAGGUGUAGCGGUGAAAUGCGUAGAUAUCAGGAGGAACACCGGUGGUGUAGACGGCUUACUGGACCACGACUGACACUGAGGCACGAAAGCGUGGGUAGCAAACAGG
rnacentral:rRNA from 1 species